rnacentral:rRNA from 1 species
GGGAUGAGCUCAAAUUUGAAAUCUGGCGUCUUUCAGGCGUCCGAGUUGUAAUCUAUAGAGGCGUUUUCCGCGCCGGACCGCGUCCAAGUCUCUUGGAAUAGAGUAUCAAAGAGGGUGACAAUCCCGUACUUGACGCGACAACCGGUGCUCUGUGAUACGUUCUCAAUGAGUCGAGUUGUUUGGGAAUGCAGCUCUAAAUGGGUGGUAAAUUCCAUCUAAGGCUAAAUAUUGGCGAGAGACCGAUAGCGAACAAGUACCGUGAGGGAAAGAUGAAAAGCACUUUGGAAAGAGAGUUAAACAGCACGUGAAAUUGUUAAAAGGGAAACGAUUGAAGUCAGUCGUGUGGGAAGUAUUCAGCCGUCUCUGGCGGUGUAUUUGCUUCUCACGGGUCAACAUCAGUUUGAUCCGGUAGAAAAAGGCGGGAAGAAGGUGGCACCCUCGGGUGUGUUAUAGCUUCCUGUCAUAUGUGCCGGACCAGACUGAGGAACGCAGCUUGCAGCAAUGCCGGGGUUCGCCCACGUACAAGCUUAGGAUGUUGACAUAAUGGCUUUAAACGACCCG